rnacentral:rRNA from 1 species
GACGAACGCUGGCGGCGGGCUUAACACAUGCAAGUCGAACGGAAAGGCCCCUUUGCGGGUACUCGGGUAGCAAACGGGUGGGUAACACGUUAUUAACCUGCCCUUGACUGCGGGAUAACUUCAGGAAACUGGUGCGAAUACCGGAGAGGAAUCCUUGCUGCAUGGUGUGGGUUGGAAAGCGUAGGCGGUUUUGGAUGGACUCGCGGCUUAUCAGCUUGUUGGUGGGGUAGUGGCUUACCAAGGCUUUGACGGGUAGCCGGCCGGAGAGGGCGACCGGCCACAUUGGGACUGGGACACGGCCCAGACUCCUACGGGAGGCAGCAGUGGGGGAUAUUGAAAAAUGGGCAGAAGCCUGAUGCAGCAACGCCCAGUGCGGGAUGACGGCCUUCGGGUUGGAAUCCGCUUUCAGCAGGGGCGAAGCUUGUGGUGACGGUACCUGCAGAAGAAGCCCCGGCUAACUACGUG